GGAUGAACGCUAGCGGCAGGCCUAACACAUGCAAGUCGAGGGGAGAGGUUACCUUCGGGUAACCAAAACCGGCGCACGGGUGCGUAACGCGUAUACAAUCUGCCUUUCACAUAGGGAUAGCCCGAAGAAAUUUGGAUUAAUACCUAAUGGUAUAUAAGAGCGGCAUCGUUUUUAUAUUAAAGCUACGGUGGUGAAAGAUGAGUAUGCGUUCUAUUAGCUAGUUGGAGGGGUAACGGCUCCCCAAGGCGACGAUAGAUAGGGGUUCUGAGAGGGAUGUCCCCCACACUGGUACUGAGAUACGGACCAGACUCCUACGGGAGGCAGCAGUGAGGAAUAUUGGACAAUGGUCGGAAGACUGAUCCAGCCAUGCCGCGUGCAGGAUGAAGGUCCUAUGGAUUGUAAACUGCUUUUGUAAGGGAAGAAUAAGGAGUACGUGUACUUUGAUGACGGUACCUUACGAAUAAGCAUCGGCUAACUCCGUGCCAGCAGCCGCGGUAAUACGGAGGAUGCGAGCGUUAUCCGGAAUCAUUGGGUUUAAAGGGUCCGUAGGCGGGCUGAUAAGUCAGAGGUGAAAGCGCUUAGCUCAACUAAGCAACUGCCUUUGAAACUGUCAGUCUUGAAUGAUUGUGAAGUAGUUGGAAUGUGUAGUGUAGCGGUGAAAUGCUUAGAUAUUACACAGAACACCGAUAGCGAAGGCAUAUUACUAACAAUUUAUUGACGCUGAUGGACGAAAGCGUGGGGAGCGAACAGG
rnacentral:rRNA from 1 species